rnacentral:rRNA from 1 species
GUAGGUGGCAAGCGUUGUCCGGAAUUAUUGGGCGUAAAGUGCGCGCAGGCGGUUCUUUAAGUCUGAUGUGAAAGCCCACGGGCUCAACCGUGGAGGGUCAUUGGAAACUGGAGAACUUGAGUACAGAAGAGGAAAGCGGAAUUCCACGUGUAGCGGUGAAAUGCGUAGAGAUGUGGAGGAACACCAGUGGCGAAGGCGGCUUUCUGGUCUGUAACUGACGCUGAGGCGCGAAAGCGUGGGGAGGCAAACAGGAUUAGAUACCCUGGUAGUCCACGCCGUAAACGAUGAGUGCUAAGUGUUAGGGGGUUUCCGCCCCUUAGUGCUGCAGCUAACGCAUUAAGCACUCCGCCUGGGGAGUACGGCCGCAAAGGCUG